UACGUAGGCAGCAAGCGUUGUUCGGAGUUACUGGGCGUAAAGGGUGUGUAGGCGGUUGGAUAAGUGUGGUGUGAAAUCUCCCGGCUUAACUGGGAGGGUGCGCUACAAACUGUCUGACUAGAGUGUGGGAUGGGUAAGUGGAAUUCCUGGUGUAGCGGUGAAAUGCGUAGAUAUCAGGAGGAACACCGGUGGUGUAGACGGCUUACUGGACCAUAACUGACGCUGAGGCGCGAAAGCUAGGGGAGCAAACAGG
rnacentral:rRNA from 1 species